rnacentral:rRNA from 1 species
ACUUUCAACAACGGAUCUCUUGGUUCUGGCAUCGAUGAAGAACGCAGCAAAAUGCGAUAAGUAAUGUGAAUUGCAGAAUUCAGUGAAUCAUCGAAUCUUUGAACGCACAUUGCGCCCGCCAGUAUUCUGGCGGGCAUGCCUGUUCGAGCGUCAUUUCAACCCUCAAGCACAGCUUGGUGUUGGGACUCGCGUUAAUUCGCGUUCCCCA